UGGUGAGCAGGCCCAGCAGGCCCAAGGGCCACCCAUUCCCCCCAGCAGAGCCCCACCUAGGAACCCGACAGAGCCCAACCACCCUAGACAAAACCACCGCCGGCCACACCAACCCAACA